GUCUUCUUGAAUAUAUAGGAAGUCUGACCUGCCCGGUGAAUAAGUAUUUAACGGCCGCGGUAUUUUGACCGUGCAAAGGUAGCAUAAUCAUUAGUCUUUUAAUAGAGGGCUGGAAUGAAGGGUUUGACGAAAUGCUUACUGUCUCAUUUAAUUUGGAAUUUGAAUUUAACUUUUUAGUUAAAAGGCUAAAUUGUUGUUGGAAGACGAGAAGACCCUAUAGAGCUUUAUAGUUUAAAAUUUAAAAAAUUUUUGGUGAAUUACUAUUUUUUAAAUGGAUAAUUAUUUUGUUGGGGUGACAAGAAUAUAUGAUAAACUUUUUUAUUUUAAUAACAUUGAUUUAUGAUUAUUAGAUCCAUUAUUAUUGAUUGAUAGAGAAAGUUACCUUAGGGAUAACAGCGUAAUCUUCCUUCAGAGUUCAAAUUUACAGGAAGGCUUGCGACCUCGAUGUUGGAUUAAGAUAAUAAUUAGGUGUAGCCGCUUAAUUAAUAGGUCUGUUCGACCUUUAAAUUCUU
rnacentral:rRNA from 1 species